rnacentral:lncRNA from 1 species
UCGCUGCUCGUGUCGGCUUCGGACCUCACGGAUACUCCCCAGGCGUUCACUCACCCCGUAAACAACCGGGCGCCGGGUAGGGGGGACGCCUUGCCCUCUUAACCGGUGGGUGUCCGGCGGCAGGAUUCGAACCGCCUACCUACCGUUGCCGAGGCGGACGCCCUAUG